rnacentral:rRNA from 1 species
UUKGGAGRARGUUGAUCCUGGCUCAGAACGAACGCUGGCGGCAGGCUUAACACAUGCAAGUCGAGCGCCCCGCAAGGGGAGCGGCAGACGGGUGAGUAACGCGUGGGAACGUACCAUUUGCUACGGAAUAACUCAGGGAAACUUGUGCUAAUACCGUAUGUGCCCUUCGGGGGAAAGAUUUAUCGGCAAAUGAUCGGCCCGCGUUGGAUUAGCUAGUUGGUGGGGUAAAGGCUCACCAAGGCGACGAUCCAUAGCUGGUCUGAGAGGAUGAUCAGCCACACUGGGACUGAGACACGGCCCAGACUCCUACGGGAGGCAGCAGUGGGGAAUAUUGGACAAUGGGCGCAAGCCUGAUCCAGCCAUGCCGCGUGAGUGAUGAAGGCCCUAGGGUUGUAAAGCUCUUUCACCGGUGAAGAUAAUGACGGUAACSGAGAAGAAGCCGGCUAUCCU